AGAGACCAAGGGGGGUUGGGUGUUACUAAUCUGGAUAUCAAGAAUAUUAGUCUUUUGUGUAAAUGGCUCUGGAGACUUGAGAAUGAAGAUGGGGAUUGGAAGGAGUCUCAUUUCUGGAAUGGUAUCAUGAGUGUUGAAGAUAUCUUUUACAAUUGUUGUCAGAGAAUUGUUGGAGAUGGGCGUAAAACUAGAUUUUGGGAAGAUGCUUGGAUCCACAACAAGCCUCUCUAUCAACUUUUUCCUCGCUCGUACAAACUUACUUUCCAUCAAAACAUUACGGUUGCUAAAGCAUUUGAACAAGAUUUUAACUGCAUUAGAUUUAGGAGAUGUUUAUAUGGGGAGACAUUGGAUAUGUGGAAUAAAGUUCUGAAUAUGUGCAGUCAGGUUGUUCUGAGUGAGGAACCUGACAAAGUCAAAUGGCUUUUGACCAGCUCUGGUUAGUUCUCUGUUAAAUCUCUUUAUCAAUAUAUUAUUGCUAGGAGAGUAGUGUUCCCUUUUAAGUUUCUGUGGAAACUGAAGGUACCUUUGAAAAGGCUUUUAUAUGAUUAG
rnacentral:rRNA from 1 species